UUGAACUUUAUUCCACCGCUGGAUUAAUUACUGACGUGUGGCUACUACAUUUCGGGUAAGUAAGGGCAGAUCAAUUGCCCCCGAUUUAUGGGUAGAACCUUGGACGUGGCAUUUCAGUGAAAUUUCCAUCGUCUAAAAUGUCAGAUGUUUUUAUUCCGAACUCGUUUUAACUAACUACUAAUUUCAUUAAUUUCCCGAAGGAAACUCCCAAACUAUUAAUAAUCUUCUAUCUAUUUAUCUUCCGAGAUUUCUAUAGUUUUAGUGAGUUUGCGCAUGCGUACCCCAACGCACAGAACAGAGUAGUACCGCUGGAAAUCGUAGGGGGCGUCGUUGCAAACUAAAGCCUAUGUAAACCCAUUAACGCAGGGAUUCCCAACAUGCUGUGCGGGCAUACCUGGUGGUGUGGAGGUGCCACUCGGGGGUGCGGGAGAUUAAAAAAAUAAAAAUAAAAAAGUGAUGGCGGUUUGGAGUGAGUUUUUUAUGUAGCAGUGAAAAAAAAAGUUAAAGCAACAGCAAGGAGACAAAGACAGAAAUGGCGGAACCGGAAAAGAAAUAAUGUGCUGUACAGUCUCGGCCUCAGAGGAAGACACGAUCACCUCCUCCACAGACAGUUGUGCUACGACGACGACAGUGCGUUGACUGCUGUAAACAAAGAUUUACUACAAGAACACGUCUGAACCUGGAGAAUUCUGUCUCCCUUGCGGAUGCGGCCGUCUAUUGCAGCGAUACUGUUGGGGUUGACCUGAAAGACAGAGAGUGGAGAAGUGAAAGGUCCUCCUCAUCAUCGGUUCUGUAGCACACCGUCAGUCCCAGUUUGUCCUGCUGCCGCAGCUUACACAGCUCCACCUCCUGCAGAGACAGAAGG